rnacentral:misc_RNA from 1 species
GAUGAAGAACGUAAGCGAAAUGCGAUAAGUAGUGUGAAUUGCAGAAUUCAGUGAAUCAUCGAAUCUUUGAACGCACAUUGCGCCCCUUGGUAUCCCGAGGGACAUGCCUGUUCGAGCGUCAUUUCACCACUCAAGCCUGGCUUGGUGUUGGGCGACGUCCUCUUUGGGGACGCGCCUCGAAACGCUCGGCGGCGUGGCACCGGCUUUAAGCGUAGCAGAAUCUUUCGCUUUGGAAGUCGGGGCCCCGUCUGCCGGAAGACCUGCUCGCAAGGUUGACCUCGGAUCAGGCAGGGAUACCCGCUGAACUUAAGCAUAUCAAUAAGCGGAGGA